CCGGCGAUGUCCGAAUGGGGAAACCCAGUGCAAUUCGUUGCACUAUCGUUAACUGAAUACAUAGGUUAACGAGGCGAACCGGGGGAACUGAAACAUCUAAGUACCCCGAGGAAAAGAAAUCAACCGAGAUUCCCCCAGUAGCGGCGAGCGAACGGGGAGCAGCCCAGAGUCUGAAUCAGCUUGUGUGUUAGUGGAACGGUCUGGAAAGUCCGACGGUACAGGGUGAUAGUCCCGUACACCAAAAUGCACAGGCUGUGAACUCGAAGAGUAGGGCGGGACACGUGGUAUCCUGUCUGAAUAUGGGGGGACCAUCCUCCAAGGCUAAAUACUCCUGACUGACCGAUAGUGAACCAGUACCGUGAGGGAAAGGCGAAAAGAACCCCGGCGAGGGGAGUGAAAAAGAACCUGAAACCGUGUACGUACAAGCAGUGGGAGCACCUUCGGGUGUGACUGCGUACCUUUUGUAUAAUGGGUCAGCGACUUAUAUUCUGUAGCAAGGUUAACCGUAUAGGGGAGCCGCAGGGAAACCGAGUCUUAACUGGGCGUUAAGUUGCAGGGUAUAGACCCGAAACCCGGUGAUCUAGCCAUGGGCAGGUUGAAGGUUGGGUAACACUAACUGGAGGACCGAACCGACUAAUGUUGAAAAAUUAGCGGAUGACUUGUGGCUGGGGGUGAAAGGCCAAUCAAACCGGGAGAUAGCUGGUUCUCCCCGAAAGCUAUUUAGGUAGCGCCUCGUGAACUCAUCUUCGGGGGUAGAGCACUGUUUCGGCUAGGGGGUCAUCCCGACUUACCAACCCGAUGCAAACUACGAAUACCGAAGAAUGUUAUCACGGGAGACACACGGCGGGUGCUAACGUCCGUCGUGAAGAGGGAAACAACCCAGACCGCCAGCUAAGGUCCCAAAGUCAUGGUUAAGUGGGAAACGAUGUGGGAAGGCACAGACAGCCAGGAUGUUGGCUUAGAAGCAGCCAUCAUUUAAAGAAAGCGUAAUAGCUCACUGGUCGAGUCGGCCUGCGCGGAAGAUGUAACGGGGCUAAACCAUGCACCGAAGCUGCGGCAGCGACACGAUGUGUUGUUGGGUAGGGGAGCGUUCUGUAAGCCUGCGAAGGUGACCUGUGAGGGUUGCUGGAGGUAUCAGAAGUGCGAAUGCUGACAUAAGUAACGAUAAAGCGGGUGAAAAGCCCGCUCGCCGGAAGACCAAGGGUUCCUGUCCAACGUUAAUCGGGGCAGGGUGAGUCGACCCCUAAGGCGAGGCCGAAAGGCGUAGUCGAUGGGAAACAGGUUAAUAUUCCUGUACUUGGUGUUACUGCGAAGGGGGGACGGAGAAGGCUAUGUUAGCCGGGCGACGGUUGUCCCGGUUUAAGCAUGUAGGCUGGUUAUCCAGGCAAAUCCGGAUAAUCAAGGCUGAGGUGUGAUGACGAGG
rnacentral:rRNA from 1 species